GGCCUCCAGCGAGCUCCGCGCGUCCGAGAAGGAGCUAAGGGCUCCCUGGUUCAAAGGGCCGCAGCCCCGAGGGAAUGCCCUCUUCGUGUGCCCCGGGGUGCAGAAGCAGACGGCAGGGCGGUGGGACCAGCCUGGGCCACGAAAGAAAAUGAACAGUGUGGGGUGUGAGGCAAAGGCACUGGAAGCUAUGCCUCUGAAAAACAGUCGUCCUGCGGAGAAAGGUCACCUACAGACAGUUGAAGGAAGAAAUGUCAUGCAAACUUGACAUCAUGGAAGAAACAUGGCAUGUGGAUUAUUAAAGAGCAACUGGCUGACUUUUAACCCUGGGUGCAUUGCUCAGACCCCAUUACCUGUGCAUUUAUACCGGGAAGAAUUACAGGGUAUAUGAGCCACAAAGAGGAGAUGACAAAGCAGAGGUAAGAGGUUGUAAAAAUAUCAGGGAAAGCAGGAUGUAGAUCUCACCAUUU
rnacentral:lncRNA from 1 species